rnacentral:rRNA from 1 species
UACGGAGAGUUUGAUCCUGGCUCAGGAUGAACGCUGGCGGCGUGCUUAACACAUGCAAGUCGAACGAUGAAGCCCAGCUUGCUGGGUGGAUUAGUGGCGAACGGGUGAGUAACACGUGAGUAACCUGCCCUUAACUCUGGGAUAAGCCUGGGAAACUGGGUCUAAUACCGGAUAGGAGCGUCCACCGCAUGGUGGGUGUUGGAAAGAUUUAUCGGUUUUGGAUGGACUCGCGGCCUAUCAGCUUGUUGGUGAGGUAAUGGCUCACCAAGGCGACGACGGGUAGCCGGCCUGAGAGGGUGACCGGCCACAUUGGGACUGAGAUACGGUCCAGACUCCUACGGGAGGCAGCAGUGGGGAAUUUUGGACAAUGGGCGCAAGCCUGAUCCAGCAAUGCCGCGUGCGGGAAGAAGGCCUUCGGGUUGUAAACCGCUUUUGUACGGAACGAAAAGGCUCUGGCUAAUACCUGGGGCUGAUGACGGUACCGUAAGAAUAAGCACCGGCUAACUACGUGCCAGCAGCCGCGG